ncrna:unclassified sequences ssnA RNA
GGAUUCGUGGCUGCAACGGAGUGCUUCGCGCACGGGCUGGAUGAUCAC